UACGAAGGGGGCUAGCGUUGCUCGGAAUUACUGGGCGUAAAGCGCACGUAGGCGGAUUGCUAAGUCAGGGGUGAAAUCCUGGAGCUCAACUCCAGAACUGCCUUUGAUACUGGCGAUCUUGAGUCCGGGAGAGGUGAGUGGAACUGCGAGUGUAGAGGUGAAAUUCGUAGAUAUUCGCAAGAACACCAGUGGCGAAGGCGGCUCACUGGCCCGGUACUGACGCUGAGGUGCGAAAGCGUGGGGAGCAAACAGGG
rnacentral:rRNA from 1 species